rnacentral:rRNA from 1 species
UACGAAGGGGGCUAGCGUUGCUCGGAAUCACUGGGCGUAAAGGGUGCGUAGGCGGGUCUUUAAGUCAGGGGUGAAAUUCCUGGAGCUCAACUCCAGAACUGCCUUUGAUACUGAAGAUCUUGAGUCCGGGAGAGGUGAGUGGAACUGCGAGUGUAGAGGUGAAAUUCGUAGAUAUUCGCAAGAACACCAGUGGCGAAGGCGGCUCACUGGCCCGGUACUGACGCUGAGGCACGAAAGCGUGGGGAGCAAACAGG